rnacentral:rRNA from 1 species
UCCAGACUCCUACGGGAGGCAGCAGUGGGGAAUAUUGCACAAUGGGGGGAACCCUGAUGCAGCGACGCCGCGUGGGUGAAGGAGCACCUCGGUGCGUAAAGCCCUAUCGGCAGGGAAGAAACAGACGGUACCUGACUAAGAAGCCCCGGCUAACUACGUGCCAGCAGCCGCGGUAAUACGUAGGGGGCAAGCGUUAUCCGGAUUUACUGGGUGUAAAGAGUUGCGUAGGUGGCAUAAUAAGUAGCUAGUGAAAUCUGGUGGCUCAACCAUUCAGACUAUUAGCUAAACUGUUAAGCUCGAGACCGUUAGGGGUAACUGGAAUUUCUAGUGUAGGAGUGAAAUCCGUAGAUAUUAGAAGGAACACCAAUAGCGUAGGCAGGUUACUGGGACGGUUCUGACACUAAGGCACGAAAGCGUAGGGAGCAAACGGGAUUAGAUACCCCCGUAGAU